CGGCAACAGCUCAAAUUUGAAAUCUGGCCUCUUUGGGGUCCGAGUUGUAAUUUGGAGAGGAUGUUUCGGGUACGGUCCGGGCUUAAAUUUCUUGGAACAGAAUGUCACAGAGGGUGAGAAUC
rnacentral:rRNA from 1 species